rnacentral:rRNA from 1 species
CAGCGAUUAGCUCACCCUCACAGGCUCGCAGACGCGUUGUACCGACCAUUGUAGCAUGUGUGAAGCCCUGGACAUAAGGGGCAUGAUGAUUUGACGUCAUCCCCACCUUCCUCCGAGUUAACCCCGGCAGUCUYUCAYGAGUCCCCACCAUMACGUGCUGGCAACAUAAGACAAGGGUUGCGCUCGUUGCGGGACUUAACCCAACAUCUCACGACACGAGCUGACGACAACCAUGCACCACCUGUACACCAACCACAAAGGGAAASAMCAUCUCUGSMSCGGUCUGGUGUAUGUCAAGCCCAGGUAAGGUUCUUCGCGUUGCAUCGAAUUAAUCCACAUGCUCCGCCGCUUGUGCGGGCCCCCGUCAAUUCCUUUGAGUUUUAGCCUUGCGGCCGUACUCCCCAGGCGGGGCGCUUAAUGCGUUAGCUACGGCACGAACCCCGUGGAAGGGACUCACACCUAGCGCCCACCGUUUACGGCAUGGACUACCAGGGUAUCUAAUCCUGUUCGCUACCCAUGCUUUCGCUCCUCAGCGUCAGUUACUGCCCAGAGACCUGCCUUCGCCAUCGGUGUUCCUCCUGAUAUCUGCGCAUUCCACCGCUACACCAGGAAUUCCAGUCUCCCCUACAGCACUCAAGUUAUGCCCGUAUCGCCUGCAGUCCCGCAGUUAAGCUGCGGGCUUACACAAACGACGCGACAAACCACCUACGAGCUCUUUACGCCCAGUAAUUCCGGACAACGCUCGCMCCCUACGUAUUACCGCGGCUGCUGR